rnacentral:rRNA from 1 species
UUUGAUCCUGGCUCAGAUUGAACGCUGGCGGCAUGCCUUACACAUGCAAGUCGAACGGCAGCGCGGGGCAACCUGGCGGCGAGUGGCGAACGGGUGAGUAAUAUAUCGGAACGUACCCUGGAGUGGGGGAUAACGUAGCGAAAGUUACGCUAAUACCGCAUACGAUCUAAGGAUGAAAUGGGGGAUCGCAAGACCUCAUGCUCCUGGAGCGGCCGAUAUCUGAUUAGCUAGUUGGUAAGGUAACGGCUUACCAAGGCUACGAUGGGUAGGGGUCCUGAGAGGGAGAUCCCCCACACUGGUACUGAGACACGGACCAGACUCCUACGGGAGGCAGCAGUGAGGAAUAUUGGACAAUGGGCGCAAGCCUGAUCCAGCCAUGCCGCGUGCAGGAUGACGGUCCUAUGGAUUGUAAACUGCUUUUGUACAGGAAGAAACACUCCCUCGUGAGGGAGCUUGACGGUACUGUAAGAAUAAGGAUCGGCUAACUCCGUG